CUUAAAUAAAGAGGUGCGUUGUUCAUUAGUAAAUUGGGGGAGGCUGCUCAGUCGUAGAAACCAAUUAAAAGGGGCCAUCGCCGAAAUCAAGCUAUUAGCACUGGCUUGAUUGGGGUUUGAUUGAACAAGUCAAACACUGUCGCAUGUAAAUGCGGGGCGCUUUGUGGGAU
rnacentral:ncRNA from 2 species